ensembl:lncRNA
GGGCUGCAUGAGCUGCAGAGAGCUCAGCGAGGGGUGACGGAGCUGCAGAGCCGCUAAGCAGGGGAUUAUAGGAAAGCUAAAGGAAAAAAUGAGCCUACAUCAGUGUGGUGUAAAGACAGAAUUAAACUGAGUCACUGGAUCUCUUUCACAAUACAGCAGCAGAGGAUAUUGGCUAGUACCAUGGAAAAGAGAGAUUUAGCAUCCACACCUAGAGCCUUCCUAAAAUAUUGCAGCAGUCUGGCAGUGGGCAAGGCUGCGUGCUGAACACAGGGGGAUGCUGAGCUCCAGGUGGCCAUACAUCCCCGUGUGGCACUGCACAGUGGCACAUGGGCAUGGUGAGUGGCUGGAGAAAGCCAUCAGGCCUCGCCCUGCAAACUUAUGUCCAACUUGGUGUGCUGACAUUAGACCUCAGAGGAAAUUGGAAAAAAAGACUGCAACUGGAGGUACGCUGCAGCUCUCCUUUUUUGCUGCUGGAAAGAAGUUAAUAAAUGCAGUCACAAUACAAGCCCCCUUUUGGAGCAUACGACUCUUUGCAAGAAGGAGAGCAGAGAGUACGUGGCUACUCCUCUGCAGCUGUGUUUCCAAGUCAGCUGGUGCUUAUUUUCUAAUUGGGAACCACAACAGCAUAUGGGCUCACCUUUGGAGCUCUUCUUUUUGCUCCUCAUGUCCAUUGUAAUCAUUGACUCCAGAUGGGCGUUGACGUUCCUAAUACCAUCCUUACAUGGACAGGACUUUCAUAUGUCCUUCCCGAGACUAAGAAACAAAGAAAAAUAAGAAACAAGGGGAAUUCACCAGGGAAUCUGGAAAAAAUGGGAAAAUUCCUAGGGUUUAUGAAGCACUGGAGAUGCACAAAAGAUCUAGAACAUUUUCUUGAAUUUGCUGAAGAUAAUAAGCUGUUCAGUUCAAAGAAGCCCAAAACAACUGCAGGCUGUUGCCAAAGGAUUCUGCAAAGCCAAGCUACUGAGCAAUAAAGAGGCAGAUAUAUUUGAAGUUGAUAAGUACAGUUUGACAUGUGUUUGGAAAAGAAAUCUACAUACUAUAUUCAUAAUGUUUGCUCAAAGCUCUGUACUGGUCAAGCAAAUAAGAUGAAUGGUAGGAAACACUAUGAAGAAAAUAGCAGCGGCAAACUUCAUUAUAUCAUUAUUUAAACCUAUUGUGACCAGAACUUCAAUAUAUGCAGUUCUAUCUCUUUGGUUUUGAAAAGUACUUUGGAGCACUGAAAAAGGUUGGAAAGAUGAUCAUAGUACCAGUUUAUGUAGGAAAAAUGACUGCAGAGGAGCACUUCAGCUUGGAAAAACAAAACUGAGAGACAAAUGUAAUGAAUAUGAUGAAAACAUGAGCAGAAAGAAGAAACAGAAAAUUAUUGUUCACUGAGUCUCACAAUAUCAGAAUGACAUCAAAUCUAACUCAGAUGUCUCAAACUCAAAGAGAAGAGGAAUUUCAGUGUGCUAUGAAUAGUUAAACCCCACACUUAAUUGUCACAGGAAGCUCAUGGGGUAGAUGCCAAAUUUUACACGUGUUCAGAAAGUAGGCCUGAUUGAUCUACGGAAAAAAAGAAAACAUCCAUAAUUACUAACAGGAGUGUGUACAGGACCGGUUCAAAGUGCAGAUCAGUAGAAUGUGGAAGACUUUACCACAGGAAAUAGCACUGUCUAAGAUACCUCUAGCCAUCUGCCCCUGCCAUGACGCUCCUCACUAGCCUUGAUAU